AUUCAUGAAAAUUUUGCAAGUUGUGUUAUUGUUGUGUUAAAAUAAAUCACGUACUAAUUGAACAACUACAAUAAGUUAUAAUUAGUGUGUAAAUGGAUUGUGCAAAUAAAUGACUACAUCUUGCAGAUUAAGAUCUCAGCCAGUGCCACGGUUCGUAGUUUUUUCGGAGUUCCUAGCUUAUACAGCUUUUACCAACGACGACGGUACCGUCCAGUAGACAGACCAGUCGAGAGCCCCGUGCGAGCGUAUUCAUAGACCAGGAUAGACUAGAAUAUCGGGUUGAAAGCAAGCAAAGAAAGCCGAGGGAAGAGAGGACGACCGGCACACACGAGAUGUCCAUUACCUUAAUGCAGUGUUCUCGUCGUUUGCUUCCACUCUGAUUAAUAUUGCAUUCCGCGCAGGACGAGAACGGACCCGAACAUCUCAACUCGAGAAACUACACCACUACACCGGAGCUUUUCGGGACGGAUGAUGGAACGCGACAGGAGUGUAACUUUCGUGUGGUGUCUUCGGUGUCCUGAUGCAUGUUACAUGUGUUAAGGACGAUUUCAAGUAUGAUAAUGACACCAGACAUGACGCGCGCUUUGACCUUUCUGCCCCUUUGAUGCUGUGAGAUGCACGCAAGCGCUUCUUUUUUCAGAUCUUUUGGCAGAGUGCUAAAGUCGUUGAGUUAAAGUGACGUCUUCAACCCUUCUAAGUCUUCCGUUUUUAUUUCUACUGCGACCAUUUUGUAUUUGCAUAGUGUAGGUACCGCUGUUUUUACACAGGUUUGCUCGUGUUUGUAAAGAGACAUGUAGCACAUAUAUAAGUUACGUGUGGGGUGACCAAACGCGCACUCCAAACAUCAUGAAACAUGAAACGCCGCCGGCGCACGUCAGGGGGGGGGCGGCGGUGUUAAAGAUUACGUGAGGCAUCUCUUCAAGGCGAGGGCGCAAAAAGUGAUGUGUGUCCGAACUGUCUGACUUACUUAGGAAGGUAAGAGCCUACAAAUAAAAUCUUGAGUGAAAAUAAAAUGUG